rnacentral:pre_miRNA from 1 species
AGUUGAAGUUUUCAUUCCAUUCUUCUGUUAAAAACUGGCAUAGCUAAUGAAAUAAUUAGACAUUUACACAUGGCAUAUGCUACAUGUAUCUCAUGUUGAUGUAAAUAGAUAAGUUUUUAAUAGUAGAAUCAGAUGAAAGUUUUAAAA